GUACUUUGUUACUUAUCUUUAAUUAGUUGAUAUUGAAUAGGAUAAAGAUUAAUAACACUUUUUUCAGUUAAAAAAAAUUCAUUUACAGGUAUCAUGCUCCAAAUAUUGUCAAUAUAAAAACGAAAGAGACAGACUUGCCUGUGUUUUAUUUUGAUCCGUUAAUUAAUCCUAUCGCACAGAAAACCUCAGUGCAGAGUUACACAUCUAAUGUGGUUUCCAACGUGAGCACAUUGCUUUAUAUCAUUUAAAAUACAACAAUUCACAUCAAGUACGUCUGGUUCAACAUCUACAAUGUUUUUGUUAUAAUUUUCUCUGAAGAUGGCAGAGCCACAAAAUGAAGGAGAUGAGGACUUUUUUCUUUCUGUAGAUGUUGAACUUCUUCAAGAAAUUCUUUUCACGAACAACACGGCAAACAGUAUAGCCCUGCUUUGGGCCACGAGGUCAUUUAGCCCGCGAUCAUGAAGAGUACUGAGAGCAAUCGCUGUACCUUGUAUCGUAGUAAGCCCUGGUAUCGUGAACUGUUCACGUGGGCAGUCAGUGAAAGCUCGAGAAAGAAUCGUUACCUGUUCCGGUCUUUUAAAGCGAUAAGGUUCUUCAAAACGAUUAUCGGCUGGGCUGAAGCUGGUCUCCAGAUCUGUCGCCAAGGUUAAAAUAUGCUGACUGUUGAUCCAUCGAAGGAAUCUCAACUACCUUCCCUUAGAUUAUAACUUCAAUUUGAAACCGGUGAAGACACAGACGACUAACGAAAGAAAGAAGUCUCUUUUCGGAAAUGGUUAUUUACUGAAAAUUAAUUAAACCUUUACGAUUUAUUAUGUGCGCAAAAUAUACUAUUGAUGAUUUACUCGUAUUAAGAGGGCUGUGUACAUGGGCUUUUGGAGACAUGUCGUCUAGGUGUAAUUUCUCCGAAAGUAUUGUGG